UACGGGGGGGGCAAGCGUUGUUCGGAAUUACUGGGCGUAAAGGGUUCGUAGGUGGCUCGCUAAGUCAGACGUGAAAUCCCUCAGCUUAACUGGGGAACUGCGUCUGAGACUGGCGAGCUCGAGUGCAGGAGAGGAACGCGGAAUUCCAGGUGUAGCGGUGAAAUGCGUAGAUGUCUGGAGGAACACCGGUGGCGAAGGCGGCGUUCUGGACUGCAACUGACACUGAGGAACGAAAGCCAGGGUAGCAAACGGG
rnacentral:rRNA from 1 species